rnacentral:rRNA from 1 species
GACGAACGCUGGCGGCGUGCCUAAUACAUGCAAGUUGAGCGAUGAAGCUUGGUGCUUGCCCCAAUUUGAAGAGCAGCGAACGGGUGAGUAACGCGUGGGGAAUCUGCCUUUGAGCGGGGGACAACAUUUGGAAACGAAUGCUAAUACCGCAUAACAACUUUAAACAUAAGUUUUAAGUUUGAAAGAUGCAAUUGCAUCACUCAAAGAUGAUCCCGCGUUGUAUUAGCUAGUUGGUGAGGUAAAGGCUCACCAAGGCGAUGAUACAUAGCCGACCUGAGAGGGUGAUCGGCCACAUUGGGACUGAGACACGGCCCAAACUCCUACGGGAGGCAGCAGAAGGGAAGCUUCGGCAAUGGACGAAAGUCUGACCGAGAAACGCCGCGUGAGGGAAGAAGGGUUUCGGAUCGUAAAACUCUGUUGGUAGAGAAGAACGUUGGUGAGAGUGGAAAGCUCAUCAAGUGACGGUAACUACCCAGAAAGGGACGGCUAACUACGUG